GGGGCUUUCUAGGUGCUCCCUGCUGAGAGCUGGUGGACCCAACAGCAGGCUGGAUUUUACUGUUGCUUCAUCCCACCUGGAAUCCAGAGCGGCAGAGUUCUCAUGGGCUCAGGACGAAGGGCAGGGACCAUUCCAUGGCCUCUCAUGCUCAUGGGGGCAUCUCGGCUGCUGUUCUGGGGCCAGAGCCUCAACCAAGGUGUAGGCAGGACUCCGUUCCUCUGGAGGCUCCAGGACUGUCCCUCUGGCCCCUCCCGGCUCCUGGCAGCUGAGGUGGCCUUGGUGUUCCCUGGCCUGUAGACGCACCCCUCCUCCCCCACCCACGGGACACGCGGCGACUCUCCAUGCCUUCCCCGUGUGUCUGCUUCCUCCCUUCGUAAGACCCCGCUCCUGGACUCAGGGCCCACUUUCAUCCAGGAGGACCUCAUCUGCACGGAUGAGAUCUGCAACACACUUUUCCAGGAUGCGGACGAGGACUCGAAAUCCCCAGCACACCGGAGGAAACAAUCCGCGGGCCUGCCCCAUGUGUCUGUUCCUGCGAGGCUCUGCUGAGAGACGGGAAGGAAGGAGAGGGCAGGACACGGCCAGCCUGACCGCUGGGGGGCCUGCCUCCCUCCGGCUCCUCCGGCUUUCCCCCUCGCCCCAUUGUGCAAGGGGAGCACCCUGCAGCCACGAGCGACUCCCAACCUGUCUUCCCCGUUUUCUCCUUGAAAACUCGCGAGAAACAUUUUUUAAUUCCGCUAGUUAUUUCCUGAAUCCGUUCUUGCAAAAAAUUCAAAGAGAGCUGAUAAAAACCACUGGCUCUGG